AAGUCGUAACAAGGUUUCCGUAGGUGAACCUGCGGAAGGAUCAUUAACACGUAUCCAAACGUAAAAAACCCCCCCCGUGAACAUUCAAUCCUGCUCUUGUAACCCGCGUAGUUCGCAAUCUCUGGUAAAUCAUAGCCCGGAAAGUAGUUUUGAUUCAGAGACCUCUGGCUACGUGAGAACAUUGGAACAGUUACAAUCGAGCGGUAGUUUCAUAGGCAUUGUUUCCCCAAGCAGUUAGUGUCUGAAAGUGUCACUGAUUGUGCAAGGAUAGCGCUUCAACGAUUCCUGUAGACCGUACACUCAAACACUGUUAACAAUGGAUAUCUUGGUUCUC
rnacentral:misc_RNA from 1 species